GGGGUUGAUGGUUUCGCCGCCAUUGGAUUGGGAAGGCCCUCCAACAUUUGCAAUAGACACCUCAUUUAUUUUUGUGGUUGAGAUGAAAUAUUUCAUGAGCUGAUCAUUGAGCACCAUUGGAUUACAAUAGCCCCCCACAGUUUUUGCCAUAUUUUCUCUAAAGCCCUCUUCUGGGGGUUUCUGAUCAAAUCUUCACAAGCUACUUUAAUGGAGGAUUUGGGAUUAAACUUUACAGGGAAGGCAACAAACGGAAAGAGCACCUUUUCAGCCAAAAGCUUGGGGGAUAGAGGAGUAAGAGGAGAGGGCUAGUUUUUGAUUAGGAUAAACAUUCUCUAAUGUAAGUCACAUUCCUCACAAUUAUUUUCUAUUCUUUUUUUUAAAUUAUUGUAUUUUAGUUCUUUUUUUUUAUUUUUUUUGUCAUGUAAAUUUGUACUCCUUGAUCCGCUGUUGUUACUAAUCUAUCAUCAAUAAUGAGAGUUGAAGAAUUUCCCUUUAUUUUCCCUUUUCUGUAUUCCAAGUUAAUUAUUUGUUAAUAUGUUGUGAGUAAGAUAUUAAGCAUCAACAAACAGCUAUAUGGCAACUCUUUGAAUGAUUUGGAAGUGAAUUGCAAAAUCUGAUUGGAAGAAAUAAUUUUUAAAAAAAUGUGGGAUACUCUUGAAUCUAGUUGCUAUAAUUGUGAACAAAUCAUCAACGGAUUAAGGCAAUUUUUUUUUUUUUGAAAAGAAAAAGUUAAGGUAAAUUAAUGAAGAUCCAGUCACAGAAGCCCAUGACCAAGCACUUGAUCUGGAACCUAAAUAUACUUCCGCUUAGAAAGUGAAAGCCCAUUGCCCUUUAUCCAUUAAAAGUUUCAUUUCACCAAAUAAUACAUGCCACAGGACUUUUUAGUCAAGAAAUCUCUAUAUACCAAAAUGUUCCUUUUCAAAUUGGUUGAAGAAGGAAAAAAAACAUUGCAUGUAGUUUCCAAAAGGCAAUAUAGAGUAAGUCUAAGAAGUACUUAUUACUAUUGUAAGCCUAAUAUUUGCUUCAAACCAACUCAAAAAACAUAUUGAGAUAACCAAUGCAAUAUGGUGUCACUAGCGGAAGAACAAUAAUCAGUAAACAGCUGAUUUCUCAUGUGUUUAGUUAUUUCCAUGGACAUCUUACUGUUAUGGUUUAGAAUGUCUUCAAAAUCAAGUGGAAAAAUGACUAAAAGUGAUUUUUUUCCAUCUAUGAUCAAUAUCCUUUUUGUUUUAAAUGAUCCCUUAGAUCCUUGAUUUUGUCACAGCUAAUGUUGCAUUCAUUUUAGCUUGUGGUACCAGGGGCUGAAUUCAGUGAAACAGACAGAUUCUGGAGUCAUAAAAAGGAAAAUCAUUCAAAAAUUUUGUGAUUUUCUUUGUGUUUUGAAAAGGAGAAGUAAUUGGCAAUUAGGCUAUAUCCUUGAGGUAGGAGAAGUGACAAAUUCUGUAAAUGGGCCAGUUUUAGAAAGCCUCUAAAAAAUUUGGGGUUCGGCCCUGUCCCUAGACUGGUAAAGGAUUGUUUUUCCGGGAUUGGGGAUUGACAUACAUUUUAUCAUUUCUCCUCUUAUUAUGGUCAAAGUAUUUCUUUAAUUGAUUUCUCUCUUUUUUUCUUGACUCACGAUAUCUUUCUACUGUGUCAUUUCUACCUAAUUUGGACUGAUUGAGCAUAAAGAAGCUAAAAUGAGAUGAUUUUCCUCUUUUUUGGCUCCUCAAAGAAACUCAAGUGAUGGCCAGGGAUAAACAAAAAGAAAAAAAACACAACUAUGGUUUUUUUUUAAUUUUUUAUUAUCAUUAUUAAAAGGGAAACCUCAGCUGUGAUAGUUGUAUAUUUGGAGCUGAUUCAGGUUUGUUCUUGUACCACCUUAAUUUGUUUUAAUGCUUAUUUUCCCCUUUGAGGCGUUUACUUGUACUUCAACUCUUCGUGUACAUGUAUGCACACAUGCAUGCAACAAAGACAUGACUAUGAAAAGAACUAAGGGGGGCUGGAAUAAAAUCGAUAGCUCAUUCUCAAUUCUUAUUACUAUAGUAAAAUACGAGUGAAAUCAAUAUUAUACGGCUCACACCCUACAAUAAAGAAUAAUGUCGAUACUCUAUUACUGGUAAUUCAAGAAAACACCUAGUUCUAGCUAGUUGGAAGUUGGCAUGGUGCAUGCAGAAUUAGCCUUCAUGGAUUCUUCUUCAGAGCGUCUAUGUACCUUACUUGCAUGAUGUCAUUAUUAGAAAUGAAGUCAAGAAAACCACUGAAGCUGCCUUCUGUGUAGGACAAAGGAUGUUGAUCAUCCACAAGCUCCGAGGCAGGUCCUACCUUCCUCUCUAAGGCUAAACUAUGAAGGCUCGCAAUGGAAAUACGAUCAGUGUCCGAGUUAACCGUAGCGCGGUGGACAAGGCUCUUACAUAGACCAUUGCUGAUUAUUUCCAUUUGAUCUCCUAUCUGAAUCACCAGGGCUCCUUUCCUGACUGGAACUUCAUACCAUUUCCUGUCAUGGCUCAUGAUUUCUAGUCCCUGAUGAUUUUGAAGUAUUAUAGUCAUGUAACCGUAGUCCGAGUGUGGUGGCAUGCCUAGUACGAGAUCUGGUUCAGGACAUGUAGGAUAGCAGUUCACAGCCAUGACUUGGGAUCCUUCAUCAAUGCCCUCAUGUAAGUAUUUAGGGCUUAGCCCUAAGUUCUCAAAUACAACUCCCAUCAACUUUCUAUGCAAUGCAUGCACGGCUUGCGUAUAGUUUCCCAUUUUUUCCCUACAAAAUGGAAAAACAAGAAGUUAUGUUAUAGGUUAAAGAAUUAGGUUUUUAAUUAGCUUUAUUGAUGCUUUGCCAAGCUUCUUUCAAGUGGCCCUAAGUCUACUUACUUGUAGGUUUUUGGAUUUGAUGGCCAUUGGUCGAUCCAAGUUGAAAUCGGAUGAGAGUAAUGUUUGAUGAAGUCCCUCCAAAAGAGAACCCUAUCCUUAACAUGAUUCAGACUGGUUCCAUAUCUAACAGGUUCGCGGAUAUUGGCUGAUGCAAGUGACAUCUUCUCUUCGUGUGGCAACUCAAAGAAGUCAGUUGCAGCGUCUAGGGCAUCAUUCAUGACUGAAAGAGGUAUCCCAUGAUUAAUGACCUGCAAAACAUACGAGUCAUGAAUUGUUGCAUAACCGUGGCAUAUGCAUGCAUGCCAAUCCUAUGCCAAUGGAAAUUGCUAUCCUGCCUAGCUUCUUUUUGUUGCUCAACUACAGCUUCGAGCUUUUUGCUCCAGGUUUUUGCAUUAUUGCAAAAAGCAGAUAAAUAUUUCGAUGAAACCUAGAAAUCAUGCGGGGUAUUAGAAUGUUUCCUAGGAUAAUGCAAAAGAUAACUCCUUUUUUAAGUGUUGUGACAUGAAAUUUUAAAAGCCAUAAAAAAUUUCAAAUGCACAUAUGUUUCUAGUCAACUAGUCAACAUCUUGAUUAGUUAAGGGCAGUGAUUAUUGGUGCUUCUAAUGCAUGUCACAAGGAACAUGAAUUCCUGCAUAUUCGUUGCAUGACCACUCCAAUACGUUAUACCAUUGAGGUUGGUAAAUCAUUAGCAAAAUCAACAAGAAUCUGAAAAUAUGAAAUAUAUGUCCAUACAUUCAUGGUGUUCUCAGAAACUUCUUGUCUCCCUCUUCAGGAAAAUCAUGCGAAUCUUGUGCAUGCAAGAGACAGGAUUAACGGCCUGUAAUGUAUACCUGGAAAAAUCCUGAGUCCUUGCAUGCCAGGCGUACUUCCUC
rnacentral:lncRNA from 1 species